rnacentral:tRNA from 1 species
GCCCGGGUGUUGAAACUGGUAGACAUUACAGCUUGAGGUGCUGUAGCCCGUAAGGGCGUGGAGGUUCGAGUCCUCUCCCGGGCA